GUUAUACUGCAUGGAGCUUUUCUCCCAGAAUGAUACCAAAGCAUUUCAGAAAUUGAAAAGAUGCAAAGGAGCUGGGGGAAGAAGGAGGAGGAGGAGGAAGAAAAAAAGUUUCUCUUCUUCUGGGAAAAUGAAGCAGUUUUUUCCAGCCUUAACAUGUCUUGAACUUUUGAGGAAAAACCUAUGCAAAGUGGGAUCUUGCAGCACACACGUGAUGAAUGGGAUGCCUCUCAGGAACAUAAAUCUGUGCUGGUGCAUCAUGAUGCAGAAUUGGUGUUGAUGCUAACAUGUCAUUUUCCCAAAUGCUUCAGAGUCCUUUGGGCCUGCCAUGAAGGGGUGAGGAUCAGGAUCAUGUGGGAGGAGUGAAUGGCACGUCCUGCUGCACACAGAGACGCUGUCCUGUUCUCUCUGCUCUGCUGGCUGAGGAUAGCACUGGCAUUUUCAGUUUUGUUUAACGUGUACUAAAAUCUGAUACUAAAACUAGCUGACGUUUCUGAGAUUGACCUGAGAAUUCACACAGUUCUCACCUGGCAUUCUAUGCUUUUAGUGACUUCUGUUAUAUUGCACCAAGCAGGGCGUGGGGUCUGGUCCAGAACAGCAGAACUAGGUGCUAAGAAAUACAAAUAACACAAACAUUCUUGAGUUUUGAGACAAAUUAUAGCAAGAAAAAGACCAAAAUAAGGCACACAGAAC
rnacentral:lncRNA from 1 species